AAAAAAGACUUGACUUCACUUUAAACUAAAAAAAAAUUGUUACGAACAUUUACGACCAUAUUACUUCCAAUUGCAAAACUCGACUGUAUUCUGUGGAAUAAUUCACAAAAUAAAUUUGUCAUCUCCGCACCAGAGAGCAGUGAAAUUGAAUCAGUUUAUGUUCGAACGUAAUUGAGUUAAGACCUGGGUAAUAUUUCAUUCAGAAAAUUGAGUUAGACACAAAAAAUCUGUGAGCAAAAAUGGUGAAACUGGUGAAAAUCAAGUGGUUUUUUAUGAUGGUCUUGCUACUCGCAAGCCUUUGCUUGGUGGAAUCGAAAAGAGGUUCGGUCAGAGGCUCGAUAACGCUAUCAAAUCGUCGAAACACAGUCAGACGUAAGACGUAAAGCACCGACCGACGAGCCAAAGACAAAGAAAGAAAUGUUCAUCAAGCAGCAGCAACAUAGAAUUCACUAUUAAAAAAGACCAUAAAACAAUAACGCCAUCCGAACAUCAGCAAUGCAAAGAAAUGAUCUUCCACACCCCCAGAACCAGUGACUUUACCUUCAGGCAACUGUAUAGUGAACAUUCAACUUUGAUUUUAUUUAAAGAAAAAGAAAAAUUAUUUUAUUCGGUCUAGACCGAAAAUGUUAAGUGAAUUAUAAUUUGAGUUUUAAUAAUUUUAUUUGCUAAAAUAAAAAUGAAAUAAAAAGGA